GCAAGUCGAGCGGUAACAGGGGUAGCUUGCUCUUUGCUGACGAGUGGCGGACGGGUGAGUAACGCGUAGGAAUCUGCCCAUCUGUGGGGGAUACCAGUUGGAAACGACUGUUAAUACCGCAUAAUAUCUGCGGAUUAAAGGUGGCCUUUGUGCUGCCGCAGAUGGAUGAGCCUGCGUUAGAUUAGCUUGUUGGUGGGGUAAAGGCCUACCAAGGCUACGAUCUAUAGCUGAUUUGAGAGGAUGAUC
rnacentral:rRNA from 1 species